CGACAACUAUGAUGAUGAUGAUGACGCUAUCUCAUUGUGCUAAGAAUUGAGACCUGUUAAAUUCCUCGUACCAUUUGCCCUUACGAUAUCUGUCUAUCAUAAUAAAAGCGAAAUUCUGUCUGCCUGGGACGCCUGUAUCUCAGUCUACAUUUGCUCUACAUAGACGUAUUAAGCUUUUUUGGAAUCAAGAUGAUCCCGGAUUGAAAAUCGGCUCUUCAUUUCGUUCUUGAACAUUCAAAAUUGUGAUAUGAUUUAAAAGCAUUUGGGUCGCUACUUCUAACAGGCAAAUCUUGGCUGACUCAUACCAUCUUGGUUGGCGUUUGUCAGAUAACGUCAGAGAUAAAAGGGGAGAUAAAUGACAUUCGCUCUGUUAAUUUUACGUCGAGAUAAGAACUUUGAAAUAAAUUGGCCAACAACUGGAAUUCAA
rnacentral:lncRNA from 1 species